UACAGUUCAUCUCAAGGUUCUUCUUUUUUUUAAAAAAAAAAAGAAAAAAAAGGAUUCCUAUAGGCUAGUCUAGACCAUCAGACACUGCUAUUUUGUUCUAGGUCUUGUUUAGUUGUAAACAAAUUUGCAAAAUGAUUAUUAUAGUAUUUUUAUUUGUAUUUAAUAAAUAUUGUCGAAUCAUAGAUUAACCAGGCUCAAAAGAUUCCGUCUCAUAAAUUAUAGUCAAAUUGUGUAAUUAGUUGUUUUUUAUCUAUAUUUAAUGCUCCAUACAUGUGCCGUAAGAUUCUAUGUGACGGAAAUCUUAAAAAAUUUUGUAAAACUUUUACGAAGUAAACAAGGAUCUAAUAUCAUGGUUUUUAGUUCUGGAUCUGAAGUUAAGGUU
rnacentral:lncRNA from 1 species